rnacentral:rRNA from 1 species
GACGAACGCUGGCGGCGUGCUUAACACAUGCAAGUCGAACGGAAAGGCCCUGCUUUUGUGGGGUGCUCGAGUGGCGAACGGGUGAGUAACACGUGAGUAACCUGCCCUUGACUUUGGGAUAACUUCAGGAAACUGGGGCUAAUACCGGAUAGGAGCUCCUGCUGCAUGGUGGGGGUUGGAAAGUUUCGGCGGUUGGGGAUGGACUCGCGGCUUAUCAGCUUGUUGGUGGGGUAGUGGCUUACCAAGGCUUUGACGGGUAGCCGGCCUGAGAGGGUGACCGGCCAAAUUGGGAAUGAGGUACGGGCCAGAAUCCUACGGGAGGCAGCAGUGGGGAAUAUUGCACAAUGGGCGGAAGCCUGAUGCAGCAACGCCGCGUGCGGGAUGACGGCCUUCGGGUUGUAAACCGCUUUCGCCUGUGACGAAGCGUGAGUGACGGUAAUGGGUAAAGAAGCACCGGCUAACUACGUG